AUGCUGGCUGGGCAACCAAAGAUUUUGGACAUUUCAGAGGAGCAGCAUCUGAUGCAUGCCUGCUGUACACCAGUCAGCAAUGAACAAAUAGAGAGGCUCUCUAAGAGGGAUAAAUGCAUGCUGUUUACUUCUGGCACUCAGUUUGAGACCUCAUGUGAGCAGUUAACCGGUUUUUGGAGGCUGGUCGUCUUUUUGCCCUACUUGCAAUCCCCUUCUCCUCAGCUGGCUCAACAGCUGCCUGUGAAGAAAUUGCAUUGAAGCUAGAAGUCUCUCUUCUGCCUUUAAUUUGGUAGUUUGUAUGUGGAAAAUAUGAUUAUAUAAGCUACGAUUUGACAGAGGGUAUUUUCCCCUUGAAUGCCCCUAAGACCAGAAGUGAUUGUCAAGUGACUACUGCUUUAUGCUUCGAAGACAACUUCCUCUUUGUAGCUUAUAAAAUCCCAUAAGCCAGUAAUGUCUCACGUUCAUAAAAUCUAUAGCUCCCUCCUGCAUCCUAGCCAUAAUAGGUUUUUUAUGGCUCUUGUGGACUUUCUCAAGCAGACAGGACAGUCACCUAAAACAAGCACCGAAUCUACAUAGUCUGAUUGAGAAGGAGCUCAUGUCAUCUGCUCUCCUAUUUUGGAACAUAGCCUGGCAAGGCUUUUUAAUUCUCCACUUACAGAAGGAGGUGGCAGCUUCGUAAAGCCACAUUACUUGCUAACUGUUACAGAUGAAGAUAAUCUGAAACACAGGAACUAUUAAUAACAGAAAGCACUGGGCAGAAGAAGAUUUUCUAUAUGUGAAAUUGCUCAUCCGCAGCAUACUAAGGGUUUUAUUCCUUCCAUAAGUCAGGAUCCUGACUUCACCCAAAAGCUUUUAUGGCUGUAAGUUUUUAUCCUACUGUCCAGCUGCCUGCUUCUUUCUUUAGCAGAACCACUUAGGGCUUUUCGUUUUAAGACACCAUUUCUUUGCCUCAAGACCCAAUACUUUGCUUAUAGCCUGGCCAAGGUUAUUUAUUAUUUAACCUGCUUGCAAUUAGGAUGCUCAGAAUGAAACUACUUUUACCCUGUCAGAGUUUCAGAGCAGAGAGCAAUUUUCCCAGUGCUCAGUUAUAGCAAUCUUUCUCCCUCAUUCUCUCUACUCUUUCCCCCAAAUCGAAAGUAAAUAGGUUUUAAUUUCAUCCCUUCAGCCCCUGCCUUAAGUUGUUCUGGCUCAAUGGCACCGUUACUGUGAUUUUAUUUAAGGAGUUUUGUUAUUUACUCCUUUUGAAAUAAGCAUGCUUACUAGCAAUAACUUUGCUAAAUUUGUAAACCUUGCAGUCAGGGACUGUGCCUUCAGGUCCUCUGUGUUUUUGCUGUAGAAAAAUUGGACAAGAACUUCCAGUGGUGUAGGUGGUAGAUGAAGAAUCUGUUUUACCUCCUUUCCAGUAUCUUUAUCUUUUUUUUUGAAAAGCAGCAGAAAUUAUUUCAACGACACACAAAGAUCUGUGUUGCAGAAUAGCUGGGAAAAGGGUUUCCCUCCGUUUGUAUUCAUGACAGCUUCUACAUAUCCAACUAUCAAAACCUAUUAUGAAGAGUUGUAUUGUGGUGUAGAUAGAUUUUUAUGCUUGUCAUAAUACAGAUCUACAGGUAAAUUUGUCAGCGGUGCAUCCGCUGUCAUAUUGCUGUAUUUCUUGCAGAAAGUAUUCUCAGUGAUAGCUUUCUGGGUAGGUCUGAGUUAAUUAGGUUGCUUGGUUUUAGAGGGAGAUGUUAAAUCAUCAGAGUUUUUUUUUCCCUAGUUUGGAACAAGUUUUAAAAACCAACAUUUAAACCAAAAGUAAUUUACUGAGUUACUUUCUACAUUGUGUUUUUAAUAGCAUAUGCAUGGUCCAAUAAGCUUCUUUCUCUGGCUUCCAGUGCUAGGUUUUUCCUUCUCCCCUUGAGAUUUUUUUCCCCCUUUUUUAUUCUUUUUUUCUCAUUCAGCUGGAAGUGUUCAGACCAAAAUUUGUUGUGAACUUGUUUUUUUCUUAUUAAAAGAUAAAAGUUGCUGGUCUCCUUAGCUUGACACCUAGGAAUAUGAAGCACUUGAUAUAUCAAGAUGAUAAACUCAAAAGGCAUUGCCUUGGUGAUUUGGAUCUGCAAAAUCACCAGCUGAAAUGCCACCUGUUCCUCCCACCCUAUCUGUAGCCACAGGAGAGGAAGAACUGAGGGCACAGCCCGGGCUGGGGCUCUCCAGCUUAUAUGACCUGCAUGGUGACACUCCCAUUUCCCACUUGUAUUAAUCAUGUGCUUGGUGACACUUGCCACUUCCAGCUUGUCUAACAUACACAACGACACUCCCCA
rnacentral:lncRNA from 1 species